UACGUAGGGGGCAAGCGUUGUCCGGAAUUAUUGGGCGUAAAGAGCGUGUAGGCGGCCAGAUAAGUCCGCUGUGAAAUCUCGAGGCUCAACUUCGAGCUGUCGGUGGAAACUAUCUGGCUAGAGUCCGGAAGAGGAGAAUGGAAUUCCUGGUGUAGCGGUGAAAUGCGCAGAUAUCAGGAAGAACACCCGUGGCGAAGGCGGUUCUCUGGGCCUGUACUGACGCUGAGGCGCGAAAGCGUGGGGAGCGAACAGG
rnacentral:rRNA from 1 species